AGAGCUGGGGGGUGCUGGGGGAUGAGAGGCUGGACAUGCCCCAGCCAUGGGCACUCCCAGCCCAGAAACCCCCGUGUCCUGGGCUCAUCCCACAGCGUGGGCAGCAGGGGAGGGGAGGAUUCUGCCCCUCUGCCC